rnacentral:rRNA from 1 species
GACGAACGCUGGCGGCGUGCUUAACACAUGCAAGUCGAACGGAAAGGCCCUGCUUUUGUGGGGUGCUCGAGUGGCGAACGGGUGAGUAACACGUGAGUAACCUGCCCUUGACUUUGGGAUAACUUCAGGAAACUGGGGCUAAUACCGGAUAGGAGCUCCUGCUGCAUGGUGGGGGUUGGAAAGUUUCGGCGGUUGGGGAUGGACUCGCGGCUUAUCAGCUUGUUGGUGGGGUAGUGGCUUACCAAGGCUUUGACGGGUAGCCGGCCUGAGAGGGUGACCGGCCACAUUGGGACUGAGGAACGGCCCAGACUCAUACGGGAGGCAGCAGUGGGGAAUAUUGCACAAUGGGCGGAAGCCUGAUGCAGCAACGCCGCGUGCGGGAUGACGGCCUUCGGGUUGUAAACCGCUUUCGCCUGUGACGAAGCGUGAGUGACGGUAAUGGGUAAAGAAGCGCCGGCUAACUACGUG